UGGGGAAUUUUGGACAAUGGGCGAAAGCCUGAUCCAGCAAUGCCGCGUGUGUGAAGAAGGCCUUCGGGUUGUAAAGCACUUUUGUCCGGAAAGAAAUCCUUGGCUCUAAUACAGUCGGGGGAUGACGGUACCGGAAGAAUAAGCACCGGCUAACUACGUGCCAGCAGCCGCGGUAAUACGUAGGGUGCAAGCGUUAAUCGGAAUUACUGGGCGUAAAGCGUGCGCAGGCGGUUUGCUAAGACCGAUGUGAAAUCCCCGGGCUCAACCUGGGAACUGCAUUGGUGACUGGCAGGCUAGAGUAUGGCAGGAGGGGGGUAGAAUUCCACGUNUAGCAGUGAAAUGCGUAGAGAUGUGGAGGAAUACCGAUGGCGAAGGCAGCCCCCUGGGCCAAUACUGACGCUCAUGCACGAAAGCGUGGGGAGCAAAC
rnacentral:rRNA from 1 species